CACUAUGCCUAGCCAUAAACAUUGAUAGUAAACUACACCUACUAUCCGCCCGGGAACUACGAGCAUCAGCUUGAAACCCAAAGGACUUGGCGGUGCUUUAGAUCCACCUAGAGGAGCCUGUUCUAGAACCGAUUACCCCCGUUCAACCUCACCUUUCCUUGUUUUUUCCGCCUAUAUACCACCGUCGUCAGCUUACCCUAUGAAGGACUUAUAGUAAGCAAGAUUGGCACAGCCCAAAACGUCAGGUCGAGGUGUAGCGUAUGGAAAGGGAAGAAAUGGGCUACAUUCCCUAAUACAGUGAAAUACGAACGAUACACUGAAAUACGUAUCUGAAGGAGGAUUUAGCAGUAAGCAGAAAAUAGAGCGUUCCGCUGAAACCGGCCCUGAAGCGCGCACACACCGCCCGUCACUCUCCCCAAGCUUAAUUAACCUUAGUACCUAAAACCUAAAAACUGCAAAGGGGAGGCAAGUCGUAA
rnacentral:rRNA from 1 species